rnacentral:misc_RNA from 1 species
GAAAUGGCAAAGAAACAAAAUGAAAUUGAAAUUUGGUCAUUGGAGGGAGAAGGUACGAUGGAUGAUUGUUGUAAGAGAAUAUUUGCAGAACAUUUCCAGCAUUCCAACAUUCCAAUUUGAGGGGAAAUCUGUUCAGAUAGAAUGCCUAUACCAAUUCAGUCCUAGCAUUCAAGUGCAGCUUCGACCUUAGCAUUCUACAUGUUUGCACUGAACUUUCUUUUAUUCAUGGGAAACUUUUAAUAUUCAUUCUUGAGGACAAGAAU